rnacentral:sRNA from 1 species
CUUUAGCCCCGAUAGAAGCGAAAAUCCUUGUGGCCCGGGGUUCGGGCUACAAGAUUGAAGUGGAUAGUGGGACCAAUG